CAUAAAAGCGUCGUCCUCGAGAGCCGACUUCCCACCUCCAUCGAGAGCCGGUGCUUCCCCGCUGCCGUCUUCCUCCUUCCGUUCGCCCAGCCCCCUCUAAAAUUCGGUCGAUGCCCUACUUGUGCGCGCGCCGACUUCCCACGUCCAUCGCGAGCCGGUGCUUCCCCGCUGCCGUCUUCCUCCUUCUCCUCUGAGAUCAAAUGAUUGCGACCAAGAGAUCGUUGCAAUGGAUGCUGGGAAGGGCGAUUGGGGCGAGGAGCAUGUGCGCCCUUCCCCACAAAUCCGCCCCCUUCUCUUCCGAGGAACUGAUGAGAAUGGAACACCAGUAUAGCGCUCAUAAGUAAGCUAUGUUGUUGUACCCCACACCACUCCCCUUCUUAGAUCUCAAAUUCUUGCGGCCUUGAUCUAAUGCUUUCCUCACUUAGAUCCUCUGUUAUUUAUGUAGAUUUAUUAUAUUUGGUUUUGUUGGAUGUCGAUGCUACCAGGUCUCUGACUCGGUCGAUCUUGGUUUUGUUGGGAAGGAAGAAAUGUUUGUCAAUGUUUCUGUGUUUUGUUUAUGGGUUUAUCUAUGGUUUUGACAAGUCUGGUUGGUGCAUGAUGAUAUGCUGAUUGAAAUUGGAGGGUUGCCAUGGCUUUUAAGAGUUAGUGAUGCUGAUUUUCAGCUGAUGCUAAUUUUUGAUACGAUGAGAAUUGGUGCUAUUCUUGCUUUGUUGUUUGGCUUUUUGCUCAGUAAACUUGGAAUUUUUGGGCUUGGUUUGAUCUGCUGCUGUAGUUUGUGGUAGUCGUAUAAACCGGUGAUGAAUCAAGGCUUUGCUCUUGUAUACAGCAGUACUAAUGUUGGAGCUUCUAAUACACUUGAUACCUGUUUAGAAGCAACAAAAUACUUAGUUGGCUUUUUUCUGAUCAACUUCAUGCUCUGAUAUGUUGGCUGUCUCUAUAGUGGUCGUCUUCUGCUUGUGCGCUUUUAAUAGUCCACGCUGCAUUGCAAGUUCUAACUUUGUCUCAUGAAAAACCAUGAAAUUAGGUUUACAUAUAAGGACAUUGAAACAUGUGUAACUAUAUAUUGAAGAGAUUGUAGGAGUCUGUUGAUGAUAGUGCUGAUUCUGCUGAAGAACAUUUCCACAUUUGAUACGCUUGUGAGGAGACAGAGACUUGGAUGGAUGUUGAAGGGUUAGGGUAGUGGAUUCAUGGACUUUAUAUAACGUACAUGGAAGUUGUGGAAAGGAAUAGAGAUGGCAUUUUGUUGGAUCUAAGCAUUAUCUUAUAUGUCUUUGUUGGUUCUAGAGGAAAUAUAUGGCGAUGAGGCUGGGCUGGGCUUGGAGCAUGGCUUUUUUUUUACCCCUGGUUACCUAAUUAGUCAAAAGUUGCUUCCUUAGUUAUCAAGACAAAUGAGAUGACUUGGUUGGGGUCCCCAAACCCCAAGGAGACGAUGAACCAAAGCUGACGAGAGGGAUCCCUUCAAAUUGUGGGAACUGUAGUUGUCUCUGCCAGUUGGAUCACUAGUCCGGCAACAACUGUGCAUUUCAAAGCUUCAACUGCAAAUGAAAAGGUUUGCUUCGGAAAUUACAAAAAAAAACCCAGAGAGAGAGAGAGAGAGAGAUAGAGAGAGAGGGGCUUUUGUGGGGUGGGGGGUACCUGCAGUCUGAGCUUAUUCGCAUGGAAGAUUUUAAGAUACAGAUGCAAUGCUUGAUGAAUCAGAAGUCAUGGGCACAAGGAAUUAAAUUAACAUCGACGGACAUGCAUCGCACGUUCUAUACACCACAAGAAUAAGUACUUCAUAUUUAUUCAUGUCGUAGCAUGAUUUUGCUAAGCCAGCAAGCUACAAUUUGUACUUAUUUUCUAAUCUAUCUCGAAUUAGUUUACGGAAACAUAGAUCAUCACAUUAUAAUUCCCAAAUCCUAUUCAUAAAUUAUUUCAAUAUUAUUUCAGGUUCUUUUUGUUGGAAAUUUUAUUCAUGAUGCACAGAAGGAUCAGCUGCAGAGUAGUUACUCUAAUAAAACAACAUGUGUGAGUAACUUUCCUCUAAAAGAAAAAAAGAAGAAGAUGACUCACUUUGAUAGCAUCAUUCCUCAAGUCUGAUUUUGACUUUCGGACAUUUAUCAACUUGACAGAUCAUUGGUAUGGUGAUAGCAUAGACAUUUUUCACUCGUAUUAAUCCCUGCUUGUCCUAUCUUGGAUAUGUUCUAUUGCUACUUUCAAGGUCAACAUUAUUUCAAUCAUAUACUUUUGUUAUUGUUGCUUAGCAUCUACUUUAUUUUAUGGUUCUGUGAAGUUUACAUUGGAGAAGAGGACGGUCACUCUUAUGUGGAUCUUUUCGAACUAAGAUGUUGUGCACGCUAGAUGACUUCUUUCCUUGUUUCUUUCACUCUUUAAACAUUAAGGGUUCUGCUUCACUACAACUGCACUUGCUCUCAGUUCAGGCUAGUUAGCUUUCAAGGCAUUUUGUAUUUUGAGCUACAAGUUUAUCAUGGUUCCAAUUGAAGGCUUAAUUUUAAAGGGUAGCCAUUGGUUGGUCCUUAAAUCAUGUGUCUUCUUUAAAGUGCGCAACACAAGUUUGUUUCAUGUUUGACUGUUUAUAUAUAUGAGCUCAGGGGAGAUCAUGCACCUGGAUAUCUGAUAUCUGGUCAUUACGCUAUUGAUUAACUUCAAAUCAAUUUUUCCUGCAGGCACUAGGGCCUAACAUCUUUUGUUGGUUAUGCCCUGUAUCAAAGUUCAAAGGCUCUGGUCUCCGAUUUCCCACUGCAUUUGACCUUCCAAUAUCUACAACACUAACUUGACGUAUCAGGUGGCAAAGAUAAGAGUAAUUUGUCUAUAGAAGAUGGAAACCAUGUAAAUUUUUGUGGUUGAGCCUCGCUUGGGAGUGGCACUUACAAUCGUGAAGUGCUUGCCCUACGUUUUUGGACUGACACGAGGGCUUCAAGUUACUUCUGUGGGCUGCUUAUAAACUACAGGAAGGGUAAGCAGAUGGAGUGCCCUUUGCAGGGGGGGGUAUCCUAGGGUCUGUAAGUCCCACCAUAAUAGUCCGGUGAAAUCUAUUGGGAAGUUAUGUGCCUGCCUUCAGGUGAUUUAUUUUGAUAUGGAACCUCAUAAGCCUUUGACAUGUGCUCGAUGUUUCCUGUGUUCCACCUGGUGUAGGUUCUGAGAGGCCUGUCUCCUAUCCAUAUUCCUUCUUCCACCUCAUUUUCUCCCUUGCCAGCAUGUAUGCCAAAUGUUGGAAUCAGACCGAAGUUGGAAUAUCAAUUCCAUUCUAGCCUUUAUUAUUCCAAACAAACAUUGCAUUAGGCUUACAAAAUAUCUAUUACAGAUCUUGUGCUACUUGGUGGAUAAGUAUUUUAUAAACUCAAAAUGAGCAUAAGGUGCUCUUGUAGGUGCUCUUGUAUGCAUUUUGAAUUCCGUCAUAUUAACUUUGGCAUCUGUAUCCAACACUUUGUUGUGGAAAAGAAAUAGAUAAGCUAAACAAUUGUUAUUUUUUUUUCCAGAUCCAAAUACACAUAUAUUAUGGAUAGAGAAUGCAAAUGCAAAAUUGAAGGCUGUCCAUGACAUCGAAGCAGGUGAGGAACUGCGGAUCUGCUAUAUUGAUGUUAGCAUGGGUUAUGAGGCUCGGCAGAAAAUUCUUGCUGAAGGUUUUGGUUUCAAGUGUAGCUGUCUUCGGUGCUUAUCUGGCGAAUAACAAGCAUUUUUCUUAUAUUUUAAUAGGGAUGAUCUUACACUCCAAGAGGAUUAAAAGUACUGAAGGCGGCUAACAGCAAAGCCCAGGACUCCUGAAGUUGUUUCAACCAUCAUGCAGGGAUCACUGGAUGAAACAGAGCAUGCAUUUUCUUUAUCUCCAAUAGCUCUUUUUUGUUAAUGCUUCUCUGAAGCCUAGGACUCUUAACCAGCCCAGUUUUCAUGCUCACGUGUUUCUAAGGGUGGUACAGUGCAAGUUAGGUUUCAGCCUUACAUUGGACAGUAUUUAGCAGCAGCAGCGGAAAAUGUGGUGACUAUUUUUGAUGUUGAGACUGACAGAAAGAUAUACACAGCGGAAAAUGAUGGGGGCUUCUACUCGGCCAUCAUUAAAGUUAAUUGUUUAAUGUGCAAUAGAAUUAUUGAAGCCUUCUGUUUGUUAUAAUUAUUAUAUUGCUAUAUUGUAUUUGAAGAAUAGUUGGAAGAAGGAACAAAAAUUGUACCUUAUGCAUCAUGCAGGUUAUAUACUAGUAUUAACUUUAAAAUAUAGCCCCCAUAUCGUAGAUUGUGUACUUAGGAAUUUGAGAUGUAUAUUUUUAGAAUGUUUUUGAAGUACAAUGUAAUCAAAUAUUAUAAUAUGAAUGUAAUCAAAGUUCUUGUUUGUGA